UCGGCCCAUUAUUAAAGCUCUGCUAAAACCCUAAACUUUCAAGUCUAUAAAUUUCUGUUUUCAACUUCAACAAUUUGGGGUUCAGCCCCCCAAAGUAGCCAAAACAAUGUUUUGUAGAUUUACCUUGCUGAAUGGGUGUUGGCUCAGCGUUGAUGUUUAAGAUGACUCCAUUUUGAAGUUGAAUAUGGUUCGUGAAGCAUUUGGAGUAAUCUACAUGAAUGCCAUUUAUAGCUUGGAAUAAUCUGUUUUCCCAGUCAUUAAGCAAGUGUACAUGAAAACCAAGUACAGCUUGUAAGUUGUAACAAUUUAACUUCUGGGCUAUACGAUUAUUCUUCCACGGACCUGGGUGACUCAAUGAUGUUAUAAGAUUGUCUUGGAGAAUGUCACGUAAAGCAGUAGUUGCAUAUAUUGUCGAUAGAUACAAAUUGUUGUUAUUUUUUUGGUCAAUUUGAGCUUGUUAUUAUAUACAAAUGAUUUUUAAGUUUUGUAUACUUUAGCCUGUUACUGAUUAUAUUGUUUGUCUCUCCUAAACUAAAAUGCACCGAUGAGUUAAUUUUAAAGAUGAAUUUUGCA